UACGUAAGGGGCGAGCGUUAUCCGGAUUUAUUGGGCAUAAAGAGCACGUAGGCGGCUAUUUAAGUCAGAUGUUAAAUCCUUCGGCUCAACCGAAGCGCUGCAUCUGAUACUGAAUAGCUGGAGUACAGGAGAGGAAAGCGGAACUCACAGUGUAGCGGUGAAAUGCGUAGAUAUUGUGAGGAACACCAGUUGCGAAGGCGGCUUUCUGGACUGUUACUGACGCUGAGGUGCGAAAGCGUGGGGAGCAAACGGGAUUAGAUACCCGGGUAGU
rnacentral:rRNA from 1 species